GCCAGUGAACUGGUCCACACUCUAGCGGCUGGCGUCUCAACGAAGCGUGAUACCCCCCCACCUUCGAGUGGAUUACCAACCUGCUCCUAGGGGGGGAGCGGCGGACGGGUGGGUACAAGGCCCGGAACCUAUUUACCCCCGCCUGGGCUAACCCCCAAUACCAACCAAUUCCGCUUCCUGGUAGCCAAUUUGCACCGCAACAUCCCAACCGGAAAGACGGCUUCGGCUUUGACAAAUGGAACCUCCCCCCCCGCGGUAGCUAGUGGGGGCCUUUUUGCCCCCCCUUGGAAACCAUGUGUUACCCCACUUAAAAGGGGGAUGGACAAUUUUGGGACCUCCCCACACCUCCCCCCCYCUUUUGGCAGGCAGAACCCUGAAAACUUCCCCCCAUUAAAAGAAAGGUCCCAAAGAAACAAGGCCGCGCCCGUGUUGGAGGGUUUUCCCGUCCUAAAACUCUGUUGUUAGGGAAAAACAAGUGCGACUCGAAUAACCUUGGCACCUUGAGAGGACCACCCCAAAAACCCAGGGUUAAAAAAGUGCCAAACACCCGGGGUAAUACCUAGGUGGCAAGCGUUAACCGGAAUUAUUGGGCCGUAAAGCGGGCGCACGCUGGUUUCUUAAUUCUGAUGUGAAAGCCCACGGGUUCACCCCUCGGAGGGGGCAUUUGGAAAACUGGGAAAAUUUUUGUGGCAAAAAAGGGGAAGUGGAAUUUUCCAUGUGUUUCCGGUUAAAUUGUGUUAAAGAUAAUGGAGGAAAAACCACUUGGGCAAAGGGGAUUUUUCCCGUCUGUUUCUCGGCCACUGAGGGGGCAAAAACGGGGGAGAAAAAAACAAGAUUAAAAAAUGCUGGUUUCUCCAACCCCCCCAAUAGACGCCAGUAGAAAAGUUCUGGCGAAUGGGGGGAAGGUACCCAUAUAUUCCCCCCCGGUUUUUUGGCCUGGGAAAAAAACCCCCUAAUAACCACCCCCCCCCGGGGGGGGGGGGGGCCGGGGGGGUUAAAAAAAAAAAAAAAAAAAGGGGGCCCCCCCCCCCACUUUGACGCAUAUAUUUUAUUAAAAAAAGACCCCCCCCAAAAAAAAUUCACGGGGGGGGGGGGGCCGCUUAAAACAACACCCUGAUAGUUUUUGACCUGUUUCGCCCCCCACCGGAGGAACUGCACACAUGAGAGCGAUGUCUGUGUUUUUCCUCCCCCCCCAGAGAAGAGAAGUUAGAAGGGACCCAAAACCCCCACCCCACCGCGCCUCCCGUGGUUUCUCUUCCUUGCACAUUAUUUUUGUCAUGUGGAACA
rnacentral:rRNA from 1 species